GCCAGAGACAAUCUAGCAGCAGGGGCUCACGAGCUGGGUACCGAUAGUUACCGCAAUGUUCGCCUCGGGAAGGUCUGAGAAAAGGUCGCUAAACGCUCUAGCAGGGUGACCCUAUCGUCAGGGUGCGGGGGAACCAGAAAUAGCGAAUGGGGUGCGUCCAACUUUACCUGGGAAGCGUUUUCCGACUCUGGAACGUAUUCGGACUUGGUCCUCGCGCCCGGAGUCGACGCUGAGGCAUUUCGCCCCCAGAUCGGUGGAAUUACCCCUGUGACUCGCAAUUUCAGUACAAUCUGCAAGCCCCGGGUAACCGAGGAACUCAAUUCAGACUAAUCUGUCUCUGGC
rnacentral:RNase_P_RNA from 1 species